UUUUUUCUCUCGUGAAACCAGUACGGAAAAACUAUUUGCAAAUCGUAACACACGCACAAACGGAAGUGAGCACGGACCACGAUAGAAAUAAUCAAUUGGUUGUGCCAAAAACAAAAGGACAGGAGAGGCAGGAACGAUCAUUCAACGCGUUAGCGCCGGAAGAAGGAGAAGCGGCAGGAAGGCAGGAACGAUCCUCCAACGUGCUAGCGCCUGGUAGAGGAGAGGCGGCAGGAAGGUAGGGACGAUCAUCCAUCACGCUAGCGCAGCAUGUGGGAGCAGCGAGAGGGAGACAAGCAGGAAGAAUUUUUAACGUGUGGACACCAUUCGACGAAGACAACGCUGGAUUAAAGGAAGAACGAAGAGAGAAGGCAGGCAAGACGGGUACGUGUGUAUCUCGCACGGGUU